rnacentral:rRNA from 1 species
GCCAGACUCCUACGGGAGGCAGCAGUGGGGGAUAUUGCACAAUGGGGGAAACCCUGAUGCAGCGACGCCGCGUGUGGGAAGACGGUCCUCUGGAUUGUAAACCACUGUCCCCAGGGACGAAGAUGACGGUACCUGGGGAGGAAGCUCCGGCUAACUACGUGCCAGCAGCCGCGGUAAUACGUAGGGAGCAAGCGUUGUCCGGAAUUACUGGGUGUAAAGGGAGCGUAGGCGGGAUGGCAAGUUGGGUGUUAAAUCUACCGGCUCAACUGGUAGUCGCACUCAAAACUGCUAUUCUUGAGUGAAGUAGAGGCAGGCGGAAUUCCUAGUGUAGCGGUGAAAUGCGUAGAUAUUAGGAGGAACACCAGUGGCGAAGGCGGCUUACUGGACGGCAACUGACGCUGAGGCUCGAAAGCGUGGGGAGCAAACAGGAUUAGAUACCCCAGUA